rnacentral:lncRNA from 1 species
UCGACAAGAUCGGUUCUGUUACCUGUCCUGUCUUAGUCAUCCAUGUGAGUUAUGCUCAUUUCUGAUUAUUGUCUUUUUUUACUUUUCUCUCUCUUUGUUUACGGUCAUCCACAGUUACUUGCGAUGAUGUAAAACUUGUAGGUUAUAUGACCAUUUUGACAAGAAAAUGUUUGUUAAACUCUUAUUGUUUGGUAUUUUAGGGAACUGCGGAUGAAGUAGUUGAUUGGUCUCAUGGGAAACAACUGUGGGAACUUUCCAAAGAGAAGUAUGAACCUCUAUGGGUCUCUGGAGGAGGACACUGCAACCUUGAACUCUAUCCAGAGUUCAUCAAACAUCUGAAGAAGUUUGUAAUAUUUAUUUCUAAACCCAAGGGACCAAGACACGGUCCAAACAACACGAAUCCAACAGAUGCAACCAAGGACCAGAGCAAGCCUUCAGAAAAAAACAAAAUAACCAAAGUAAAAUGAUAAUAAUAAAAAAAGAAAUACAAAACACCGGCCUUUCUUCACAACGGCGGUCAUUUAGAGAGAGGGAAGCACGAUUAUUUAUUUUUCUAACGAGAAACACUUGGCGACGGUUGCUCUCUUCGUACACGCGCGGCUUCUAUCUCUCACGCGCCACCGCAAAAAUCUACUAUUUCCUUUUCAACUCUGUCCCCUCUUCUUAUCUUUUCUUCUUUUCUCUCUAACCUCCUUUUACUUUCCUUCUUCUGUCUUUUCCAGCUUUUAUUUUCCUUAAGAUCUCGGAAACCUAAAAAGAGGAAUCUAGGGGUUUAUGAGUAAGAAGAAGAGGUGGUUCUGAUGAUAAGAUCGUCUUCUUCUUCUUCGCUAUGGGAGGAGUAACUUCGUCAAUCGCCGCUAAAUUCGCUUUCUUCCCGCCAACCCCACCUUCUUACGCUUUCAUUACCGACGUUAGCUCCUCCUCCUCCGUUGACCGACUGUACAUCACCGAUGUUCCUCGCCGCGACGACGUUGACGUCCUCAAGCUACGCACUCGUCGUGGCAACGAGAUCGUUGCUAUAUACGUCAAACACCCCAAAGCUAACGCUACGCUUCUCUAUUCCCAUGGCAACGCAGCUGAUUUGGGUCAGAUGUUUGAGCUUUUCCUCGAGCUUAGCACCCGCCUCCGUCUUAAUCUCAUGGGGUACACCCUUUCUUUCAGCAUGACUUUAUGGGUUUCCACUUUUGUCUUAAAAAUGCUUGUGUCUUUCUUUGGUUUUGGUAAUUUGAUGUUAACACUGUAAUAAUGACAAAUCUAUCCGUCCUUUGGUUUCAGGUAUGAUUACUCUGGCUAUGGUCAGUCUACUGGAAAGGUAGUUUCCUAAGCUUCCAAGAUCUUUUUUUUUUUUCAUUUCGAAAUAACAGAUAUGAAAUUUUAUAGAUUCCUAAUGGAUUUUUAAUUUUGUUAAUUGAAAUCAGGCAAGCGAAUGUAACACAUAUGCUGAUAUAGAUGCAUCGUAUAACUGCCUGAAAGAACAAUAUGGUGUAAAAGACGAUCAACUGAUAUUAUAUGGUCAGUCUGUUGGUAGUGGACCCACGAUUGAUUUGGCUUCGCGGACGCCUAAUUUAAGAGGAGUGGUUUUGCAUAGCCCUAUUCUCUCUGGGAUGAGGGUUCUGUACCCGGUUAAACGAACUUAUUGGUUUGACAUUUACAAGGUAAGUUAGUAGACAGACACAUAUUUAGCCAUCUUUGUUUCUGGUUUCCAUGUAUUAAAUGCUUAAUACAUGAACAAUUUCUCGUUUCAGAAUAUCGACAAGAUCGGUUCUGUUACCUGUCCUGUCUUAGUCAUCCAUGUGAGUUAUGCUCAUUUCUGAUUAUUGUCUUUUUUUACUUUUCUCUCUCUUUGUUUACGGUCAUCCACAGUUACUUGCGAUGAUGUAAAACUUGUAGGUUAUAUGACCAUUUUGACAAGAAAAUGUUUGUUAAACUCUUAUUGUUUGGUAUUUUAGGGAACUGCGGAUGAAGUAGUUGAUUGGUCUCAUGGGAAACAACUGUGGGAACUUUCCAAAGAGAAGUAUGAACCUCUAUGGGUCUCUGGAGGAGGACACUGCAACCUUGAACUCUAUCCAGAGUUCAUCAAACAUCUGAAGAAGUUUGUAAUAUUUAUUUCUAAACCCAAGGGACCAAGACACGGUCCAAACAACACGAAUCCAACAGAUGCAACCAAGGACCAGAGCAAGCCUUCAGAGAAUGGACGUGCUGACACGUUUCAACUCGGCUGCUGCCUUCCGGAAGUUUCCAGAAACAGUGUUGACAGUCAGCUUGAGAAAUCUAAGAAGAC